AUGGCUGCCAUCCGGAAGAAACUGGUGAUUGUUAGUGAUGGAGCCUGUGGCAAGACUUGUUUGCUCAUCGGCUUUAGCAAGGACCAGUUCCCGGAAGUGUAUGUACCCACAGUGUUUGAGAACUAUGUGGCAGAUAUUGAAGUUGAUGGAAAGCAGCCCGGAUAGUUUAGAAAACAUCCCAAAAAUAUGGACCCCGGAAGUCAAGCACUUCUGUCCCAACGUGCCCAUCAUCCUGGUUGGGAACAAGAAGGAUCUUCGGAAUGAUGAGCACACAAGGCGGGAGCUAGCCAGGAUGAAGCAGGAGCCGGUGAAACUGGAAGAAGGCAGAGAUAUGGCAAACAAGAUUGGCGCUUUCGGUUACACGGAGUGUUCAGCAAAGACCAAAGAUGGAGUGAGGGAGGUUUUUGAAAUGGCCACAAGAGCUGCUCUGCAAGCCAGACAUGGGAAGAAAAAAUCUGGGUGCCUUGUCUUGUGAAACCCUGCUGCAAGCACAGCCCUCGUGCAGUUAAUUUUGAAGUGCUGUUUAUUAAUCUUAGUGUAUGAUUACUGGCCUUUUUUCAUUUAUCUGUAAUUUACAUAAGAUUACAAAUCAGAAGUCAUCUUGCUACCAGUAUUUAGAAGCCAACCGUGAUUAUUAAUGAUGUCCAACCUACCCGACCACCGGGGUCCGUCUGACACCGCUCUAACAGCCCUCCUCUGCACUCCCACCUGACACACCAGGCGCUAAUUCAAGGGAUUUCUUAACUUCCUUGCUUCUUUCUAGAAAGAGAAACAGUUGGUAACUUCUGUGAAUUAGGCUGUAACUACUUUAUAACUAACAUGUCCUGCCUGCCCUCUGUCAGCGGCAAGGUACUCUGGUGAGUCCCUACUUCAGAGCUUUACUCCUUAACAGAUUUUAUUGCAUAGCUCUGUGAUGGGCAUCCAGUUUUUUGAAAAUGCUCAUCCAGAAAGGCCCAAGUCCAUGCAGCUGUGGCAGAGUUACAGUUCUGUGGUUUCAUGUUAGUUACCUUAUAGUUACUGUGUAAUUAGUGCCACUUAAUGUAUGUUACCAAAAAAUAAAUAUAUCUACCCCAGACUAGAUGUAGUAUUUUUUGUAUAAUUGGAUUUCCUAAUACUGAUAUUUGUCAUCCCUGCAGAAAGUGUAUUGGUUUUUUAAAAAAGAAAGUGUAUUUGAAAAUAAAGUCAGAUGGAAAAAUUCAAAAAAAA